rnacentral:rRNA from 1 species
AUGCGCUACCUUGGCCUUCCGCUGUCGGUUUACCGACUCAGGAAGAUUGACCUACAACACCUAGUGGACAAGGCCGCAGGAAAGGUUGUGCCUUGGCAAUGCCGAUUUAUUACAGCGAUUGGGCGCACGGAGCUGGUUAAAUCUGUCCUCGUGUCCCAGGCAACCUUUCAUGCUACUGCAGUUAAGCUACCAGAGAACACAAUCGGCGCCCUCAAGAAGAUUCAGAGGGCUUUUCUAUGGGCGGGAUCUGAUAAAGUCUCCGGUGGGCAAUGCAAGGUCAGUUGGAGGCUGGUAUGCAGAUCAAAGGGGCUUGGUGGCUUGGGUGUCCUUGACCUAAAUAUGUUUGCUCGUGCUCUGCGAUUGAGGUGGCUCUAG